UUGAUUCUGCCUGACGCAGAUGCUAGCUUCGGAGAUUAAGCCAUCAUGCGCGCGAAGAUGGGACGGCGAACGGCUCAGUAAUACUGCGAUGAUCUGCUCUUUACGGAAGAUAACCACUGGACACGGUGGCUAAGGUGAAGACUGAGACGCAGUCCUAUCAGCUGUGAUGGUAGUGUAAAGGACUACCAUGGCGACGACGGUGACGGGAGAUGAGGKUCUUGUACCGGAGAGGAGCCUGAGAGAUGGCUCCCACGUCCAUGGAUGGCAGCAGGCGCGAGAAUUGCCACUCUUAGAUGAGGAGGCAGUAACGAAGCGUAGACGACGCGGGUGUAAAAAGCCUGCGACUCGACUGGAGGCAAGUUUGGUGCCAGCAGCCGCGUAAUACCGACUCCAGGAGUGUCUGUGGUGGAUGCUGCAGUUAAAAGGUCCGUAGUCGAGCGGCAGUGACAGGGCGUGUGGUCAGAGACCGCAGUUGCUGCGGAGAUAGCGCAGCGGGCAGGGUGCGCGGAAUGUUGGCGASCGAUGAAAUCCAGGACCCCAGCCGGACGAACGGAGGCGAAGCGGCSCACUGGGACGCAUCUGAGGAUCAAGGACGAAGCUGGAGGAUCGAAGCGAUUAGAGACCGCUGUAKUCCAGCAGUAAACGAUGCCGACAGCGCGGCCGAGGCGUGGCGCGGGAGAAAUCGUAGUGUACGGGCUCUGGGAUAGUAUGCUCGCAAGUGUGAAAAUUAAAGAAAUUGACGGAGCUACACCACAAGGAGUGGAUUGUGCGCUUAAUUUGACUCAAGCGSGGACAGCUUACAGGSCAAGCGGUCAGAGACGGAGACGCGAUGCCGCGGAGUGUGCAUGUCGCUGGAAACCGUGGGCGCCUGAUGCUCAAGUGCAGGACCGUGAGCCCUAAGACAGGCGCCGGAGCGUGCAGGAAGUUGGCGAUAGCAGUCAGUGAUGCCCUCAGAUGCCCUGGCGGACGCGCAAUACAAUUCCAGUGCGCAGAAAAGCGAAGUUCUGGAGGGGACUGGGCCUGGGAGGGCCCACGAACGCGGAAUUCCUAGUAACGCGCUCAUGAGCCGCGUGAAUGUUCCCUGUAGCUUGUACACACCGCCCUCACUUCUCAGAUGUCGCUCGAUGAGGACGGAGUCCCAAUCGCUGACAAAUAGA
rnacentral:rRNA from 1 species